ACCAAACCUGUAUGUACAAGGCAUGCUAAACUACAUGUUGUUUGAUUUAAGGGGUUUACUUGAGCCUUACCUGUUUGUUUGUUCAUUCCCUCUAUUUUUUACUUGUUUGUAUGUCGAAACCAGAAUUUUACCCAUUAAACUCCAUAAAUACCCCUAUCCCUCUCUCCCCUUUUAGGAUUAGAAGUCCUAAUACCCCCGGACUGAUAGUUUAGGACGGGUAUUAGCAUGCAAUAAAUAAACAAGGCUAAAUGCGCUUCAAUACCUUAACGGGGUAGGAAAGAGUAGAAUAUGAAUAUGAUGACCAGUGCUCUAAUAGCACGUGCGACCCCUCUUCUGAGGAGUAAUUGCUGAAUAUUGCAUUGAUGUGAUCCAUAUUAUGUUUAAACUUAGGACCCCCUUCGCUUUCUUCUUUUAUUUGUAAUGCAUUCUUUUAAUUUUGGUUCUUCUAAUUAACUCAUUUAUCUAAAAUUGCUGUUCUCUUCUUUCUUUUAAAAGUAUUAAACUUAUUUGCAAACUUUAUUUAUUUCUCCUAUCUUCUCAAAGUCACAAUUAUAGCAUGUCGGGGAACCACACUAGUGGAUCUUGAGGGGUGCCUAAC
rnacentral:lncRNA from 1 species